UGGGAAUUCCCUCUAUGGGAAAGUCAUGGUGGUAUCGACUGUAGAUUGGCAGAUGACAGAGGGCCUCUUUGAGGGGGUGCCAGAUGGCUGAGGAUGCCUGACCAGGGGCUGACAUCUCUGCACACAUCCUGGUGGAGAGGUUUCCAGGCUGAGCAAGGAGCCAGUAACAGCCAUGAAGACAGCACAGAGGAAGCUGUGUCAAAAAAUCAGAAACCGAUAUUUCAGACAAGCCUGGUUACAAAAUUAUGAGGAACCUUUGGCCCUUUCCUUCACCCUAAGCAGUGACAUCAACACCAUCACCCCGGAUGAAUAUCAGUUUACUUACCGAGGCUCCUUCAAGCUCUUGGCAGGCAAGACCAUGGACCCAAGAGGGUAUGUAACUGUGUAUUGUCAGCGACUCCACACGGCUACAUUUCGGUAUUUAAUGAGGCAUUGAUCUUGCUGGAGAUUUUUGAAAGUCUGGCCAGCUGGCCCAUUGGAAGGAGACCUGAGCUUGGUUCUCUGUGCCUGAGUCGUUGGCUGUCUAUGCUACAGGAACUGCCUCAGCUGUGGAAAUGCCAUGAAUCCUUUUCCCCGUUGGCCAUGCAGCAGGACAUACUUUAUUCAGCUGGGUGCUGAAAAAGAAUCUUGGAAAUUAGGAAACUGAAUGAGGCCUCAUUUCACACUCAGAAUGUGGGUUGCAAUAGUCACUUCCUCUGCUGCUGGGAAAGAAAGAAUUAUACUACCUUUUGAAUUUUGGAUUAAGGAGAGAGGUGUUGGCUUGUCAAACUACCAUGUAUUCCUCAAGACAUAUUUUUGUGGCUUUAUAAAAUUCAAUAUAUAUGUCUAAAUUCAAAAAUAUUUUGUUGCAAUCUGGCCCUUGGACAAACUGAGGCCCUAGCAACUGAUGUUUAUGGCUUUCCGUAGAACCUUUCAGAUAAAAUUUACACAGCAUUUUACUGCAGCUAUUUCACACAAAGCAGAGGAUUUUGCCACAAAACUGAAAGAAAAAAGAAACUGCAUUCUUAAAUUUUUCAUAAAUCAAAAGGUAUAAAAAUAUCUACCUAAACGAUAAAGGAGAUGAGAAACCCCACCCAUGAUGGGAAGAAAGCCUAUUUCAGUUUUGCCUUUACUUCAAGUUCUUUUUUCCAUAUCUGGAAUGCAAUCAGAAUUUUAAUCUUGCCUUGGGUUCCUCCUGGAUUUGGGGAGAAGACAAAACCUGAAAAUCUCUAAUCUGCAUGUGUUCAGCUGCGUAUCUUCUGGAUACGGAAGGAUCACACUGCACAGAGUGCUGGACUUGCAGGAGCCCCGCUUCUCAACCUCCAUCGCUUUAUGAAUGAAUUCACCAGAAAGAAAAGGAAGAAUCAACACUUUCAGAGAUGGAGCCUGUUGAGCCACAGUACCAACUAGUCAAUGCUGAAUCGACUUCUCCCUUUCUACAUUGCCUGAGAGAAGUCAUUGGGGAAUACUCUGUACACGAAUUUUCACUGUUGGGGAAAACAGGUAUUGGAAGUGAUGGGUAGACCUCAGUUUGUAUGCAUUGUGUUAAUUACUAUUUCUUUGCUUUUCCUUUUUUUGUGCGGUUGCAGAGAGUCAAGGGAUUGGAUUGUGGAUUGCAUUGGUGGUUUUCCUCAGUUUCCUCAUCUUCUCCACAAGUUUCUACAUAUCGAAUGCAGAGCAGCCCUUCUUCAAAGGACCUCCUACGGAAGCUGCUAAGGAACUCAGUCUGUAGCUCUGCGUGGAGCCAUGUGUAAACACUGAACUGAGACCUGCCACCUCCUACUACCUAAGGGCCCAUUUUCAUCUGAUAUCAUCCCCCAGAAACAAACUCAUGAUGACUUCCAUGUUUUUUUUAGAUUAGAUACAUGGAGAAUUUUCCUUUCCCUUAGAAUUAAAAUCCUGCAUUCUAAUUUUCAGUAAGCUUUUUUAUUUCUGAAUAAUUUUAAAUUUAAAGAGAAGUUGCAAAGAUAGUAUAGAAUGUUCCCUUAUACCUGUUUUUAUUUAGAGUGAUGUUCCCAGGAGAAAUGAUAAUGCAGCAAUGGACAAGAACAGGAACAAGAGACAGUCUUACCAUCUUCUUACAAUUUAUAGAUGGGACAGUGGAAAGAGAAGCCACAUCGGGGUUGGGCAUGCAGAGACCUGGUCCUAAAUCUGUGUGACUUUUGCGAAAUCCUUUUGCCUCACAGAGCUCUAGGUUCUUAUCUGUCAAACAGGAACCAGACCAUCAGAUCCGUAGAGAUCCAACCAAUGAAGGAGACUUCGAAAACUUCACAUUGCCGUGUCAAUGUGAGGUUGCUGGAUGGUUAUGACAAGAAAUCACAUUAAAUUCACUGGGGUAACAUUGUUCAUGAAACGGGAUAAUGUGUUUCAGCGAUGAACCACCCAUGGCCUUACUACAGACAUAUUUCCACUUUGAAAAUGUGUGUGAGUGUACAUGUCUGUGUGUGAGGCAGAGAUUAGAAAGUGUAAAUGUGUGCGUUUUCAUUUUACACAUCUUACAUUUUCCUUUAAUUUGUUUGAAAGCCUGUUUUGUUUGUGGCUUCCAUUCCUGGAAGUCCCAUGAGUUGUUAGUGGUGAAGAUGGAACAGAUGUGUCCAACCCGGGGGACUCCUGCCCUCAGGGACUGAGCAGCUGCAAACCUCUCUCUCAUCUGAUUCCACUGUUUCUUCCACAUGUACACAUCAUGAGAAAUAUUGUUCAAUCAAUAUCUUCCCUUAAAUCAACUCAUAUGCUUAUUUACAUGAAUUUACCUAAAACAGAAACUUGAUAUCACUUCUGUAAAUGAAAAAAUUAAACUUUCUGGCUUUAAAUAAAGCAUAACAAUAAUAAUCAUGUC
rnacentral:lncRNA from 10 species